AUUUGAUGAUGUGGACAUUGUAUUUGUACUCCCCAAAUCUUUCCUAAGCUUCGAAGAAUUCCUCCGUAUGCUUCUGUCUUAAAGUUUGGAUCUUGUUUCUUAACU
rnacentral:snoRNA from 1 species